rnacentral:rRNA from 1 species
AGAGUUUGAUCCUGGCUCAGAGUGAACGCUGGCGGCGUGCUUAACACAUGCAAGUCGAACGAGAACGGGUUAUAGCUUGCUAUAACUGUCAGCUAAGUGGCGCACGGGUGAGUAAUAUAUAGGUAAUGUGCCUUAGAGAAGAGAAUAAUUGUUGGAAACGACUUGUAAUGCUCUAUAUGCCCUUAAUACAAAAGUAUGCAGGGGAAAUAUUUAUAGCUCUAAGAUCGGCCUGUACGGUAUCAGCUUGUUGGUGAGGUAAUGGCUCACCAAGGCUAUGACGCCUAACUGGUUUGAGAGGAUGAUCAGUCACACUGGAACUGAGACACGGUCCAGACUCCUACGGGAGGCAGCAGUGGGGAAUAUUGCACAAUGGACGAAAGUCUGAUGCAGCAACGCCGCGUGGAGGAUGACACAUUUCGGUGCGUAAACUCCUUUUAUAUGAGAAGAAAAUGACGGUAUCAUAUGAAUAAGCGCCGGCUAACUCCGUGCCAGCAGCCGCGGUAAUACGGAGGGCGCAAGCGUUACUCGGAAUCACUGGGCGUAAAGAGCGUGUAGGCGGGUAUUUAAGUUGGAAGUGAAAUCCUAUGGCUCAACCAUAGAACUGCUUCCAAAACUGAAUACCUAGAAUAUGGGAGAGGUAGAUGGAAUUUCUGGUGUAGGGGUAAAAUCCGUAGAGAUCAGAAGGAAUACCGAUUGCGAAGGCGAUCUACUGGAACAUUAUUGACGCUGAGACGCGAAAGCGUGGGGAGCAAACAGGAUUAGAUACCCUGGUAGUCCACGCCCUAAACGAUGUACAUUAGUUGUUGCGAUGCUAGACAUUGCAGUAAUGCAGUUAACACAUUAAAUGUACCGCCUGGGGAGUACGGUCGCAAGAUUAAAACUCAAAGGAAUAGACGGGGACCCGCACAAGCGGUGGAGCAUGUGGUUUAAUUCGACGAUACGCGAAGAACCUUACCUGGCCUUGACAUAGAAAGAAUUUAGCAGAGAUGUAAAAGUGCUAGUUUACUAGAGCUUUCAUACAGGUGCUGCAUGGUUGUCGUCAGCUCGUGCCGUGAGGUGUCGGGUUAAGUCCCAUAACGAGCGCAACCCCUACUCUUAGUUGCCAGCAUGUAAUGAUGGGGACUCUAGGAGAACUGCCUACGCAAGUAGAGAGGAAGGUGGGGAUGACGUCAAAUCAGCACGGCCCUUACGUCCAGGGCUACACACGUGCUACAAUGGCCGGUACAGAGGGCAGCCACCUGGUGACAGGGAGCGAAUCUCUAAAGCCGGUCUCAGUUCGGAUCGAAGUCUGCAACCCGACUUCGUGAAGCUGGAAUCGCUAGUAAUCGCGCAUCAGCCAUGGCGCGGUGAAUACGUUCCCGGGCCUUGUACACACCGCCCGUCAAGCCAUGGAAGCUGGGGGUACCUGAAGUCGGUGACCGUUAAGGAGCUGCCUAGGGUAAAACUAGUAACUAGGGCUAAGUCGUAACAAGGUAACC